UACGUAGGCAGCGAGCGUUGUUCGGAGUUACUGGGCGUAAAGGGUGUGUAGGCGGUUGUUUAAGUUUGGUGUGAAAUCUCCCGGCUCAACUGGGAGGGUGCGCCGAAUACUGAAUGACUUGGAGUGCGGGAGAGGUGAGUGGAAUUCCUGGUGUAGCGGUGAAAUGCGUAGAUAUCAGGAGGAACACCUGCGGUGUAGACGGCUUUCUGGACCAUUGUUGACGCUGAGACACGAAAGCGUGGGUAGCAAACAGG
rnacentral:rRNA from 1 species